rnacentral:rRNA from 1 species
UACGAAGGGUGCAAACGUUGCUCGGAAUUACUGGGCGUAAAGCGUGCGCAGGCGGUUUUGUAAGCCAGAUGUGAAAUCCCUGGGCUCAACCUGGGAACUGCAUUUGACGACUGCAUGGCUAGAGUAUGGAAGAGGGAAGUGGAAUUUCCGGUGUAGCGGUGAAAUGCGUAGAGUAUCGGAAGGAACACCAGUGGCGAAAGCGACUUCCUGGUCCAAUACUGACGUUCAUGUGCGAAAGCGUGGGGAGCAAACAGG